rnacentral:snRNA from 1 species
GUCUCUUCGGCGUCACCCGUUAAAAUUGGAACGAUACAGAGAAGAUUAGCAUAGCCUCUGCGCAAGGAUGACACUCAUAAAUUGAGAAAUGGUCCAAUUUUUU